AGAAGAGACAAAUGUGUGGCGUCUCCCAUUGCAAUAGACAAAUUCUACGUGCGGGUUAUCUAAAUUCAAUCUAAACCAGUUGUAUAAGACCGUGAUGACGUCUUUAAUGACGAUAAAUGAUGUGGAUACGUUUAUCGCGAAUCAAUGAAAAGACCCUCGCUGUACACGAAGAAUUUAAAAGAAUACUCGGAUAGAAAUAUAAGAGAGAAACUAUGGGGAGAAUGAAAUCAAAUAUGGAAUCAUUAUUUCUCUAAACAGUUUAAUUGCGUUGAUAUUUGCAACAUUGCAUCAAAGUUGUAAAUUGGACUUCGUAUUUAACGUGUACAUAAUUAUGUAAAGUACGAUACGCUUUAAUUUGUUAAAUUAUUCCGUGCCACGAGUGUAUUCUUUUUAAAGAAAAACCUCCGCGCUUCUGGCAGAGUAUAAACGACGCAUUGCGUACAGGGUUACCAACUCAAGGUAAUGUAAAUCCCAGAGUGCGUAAAUUACAAUCUGAAGAUUCUAGCGAAACUACAAAAAUACGUAAAGGAUUUUCUUUCUAUUUCAUAAUGAUAUUACUUGUUGGAAAUUUCACGUUGUAACAGUGGCGUUUAAUUAAAAAUACACUAAAAAUUCUUGAUAGCUCUGCGAGUGUAUCGUGCCAUUUUUGUAAUCUAUAGGACUUCGAUGCUGUUAAUAAAUCACGCUUUAUUUUAGUGUAAUAGUGUUUAUUAUUAUUUCAACUUACGAUUAGUAUACCCUGUAAUCAAUGCACAAUGUCUUCGCGUGAACCCUUCCCGAAUUCGCAACACUGACUAAUCAUAGUAAUCGUAUGGCAACGCGACCACGCGUACGUAUAUAUUUCUCCCACAUCUCACCAGAGGUCAGCACACACAUAUCGUGGGAAAAUACAAAUGUAAAACUUUGUUCUAAAUGAAUCUGAAUAUGCAAUUAAAGAAUCGAUAUUUCCAAAGUGGCUGAUUAGAUUGUUCCCUUAAAACUCGAUCCCAUCGUAUCUAAAAAGUACGGUUCCAUUUUGUUUAUUGCUAUAGGGCAAGAAGUACAGAGAAACUGAUGAAAUCUAAAGACUUGUUUUGAGUGUAAAAUAUAGAAGAAUGUUAAAUCAGAGCAGACUGUAUAUAUAACAGUGCCACACUUGGUUUAUCAAUAAUAUUAAAACGUUGUUGCUUUAUCAAUUUUAUGGUAAUUAUUUAAAAUAGGGGUAAAUUACUUAAUAAACAUAAUAUUUAUUCCACUUGACGUGAUUUAUAAUAUUCGAUACGUGUAAUCUACAAUUAAUUAUUUGAUAAGAUUACAUUAAAACGCAUUUUAAUAGAGUAUGUUUACUUCAAACUAAAAUGGAAGGCACAAUUGGCGUUCUUUAAUCUUCUAAAGAAUAAUUGACUUACAUGCUCUGGUAGCUUAACGUUUCUAUAUUAUUUUCAACAUCGACUGUCACUUAGUUCCGGUUUUAGCCGAAUGAUCCCAUCCGUAUUCGUUAUUCGAUGGCGACAAUGGAGAUACAAUAUACAGUGGCUCGUAUUUUCGUUCGCAUAAUUUAUUAGAUUCGAAGAAUUCUCCCCGUUUUUGUUACUUCGAAGGAGCAUAACCCACUACCCUAAAUAAAGAAAUGUUUCCGAACCAGUCCGUGAGCCAUUGUACAUCUCGUGAAA